AAUCUUAGCGGCGGACGGGUGAGUAACGCGUGGGUAACCUGCCUUGUACAGGGGGAUAACACAGGGAAACUUGUGCUAAUACCGCAUAACAUACUUGGGUGGCAUCACUUGAGUAUCAAAGUAGCAAUCCGGUAUAAGAUGGACCCGCGUCCAAUUAGCUAGUUGGUGGUGUAACGGACCACCAAGGCGACGAUUGGUAGCCGAACUGAGAGGUUGAUCGGCCACAUUGGGACUGAGACACGGCCCAGACUCCUACGGGAGGCAGCAGUGGGGAAUAUUGCGCAAUGGGGGAAACCCUGACGCAGCAACGCCGCGUGAAGGAUGAAGGUUUUCGGAUCGUAAACUUCUUUGAUGAGGGAAGAAUAUGACGGUACCUCAAAAACA
rnacentral:rRNA from 1 species